rnacentral:rRNA from 1 species
AUUGAACGCUGGCGGCAUGCUUUACACAUGCAAGUCGAACGGCAGCACGGGUGCUUGCACCUGGUGGCGAGUGGCGGACGGGUGAGUAAUACAUCGGAACGUAUCCUAAAGUGGGGGAUAACGCAUCGAAAGAUGUGCUAAUACCGCAUACACUCUGAGGAGGAAAGUAGGGGAUCGAAAGACCUUAUGCUUUUGGAGCGGCCGAUGUCUGAUUAGCUAGUUGGUAAGGUAAUGGCUUACCAAGGCAACGAUCAGUAGUUGGUCUGAGAGGACGACCAGCCACACUGGGACUGAGACACGGCCCAGACUCCUACGGGAGGCAGCAGUGGGGAAUUUUGGACAAUGGGCGCAAGCCUGAUCCAGCAAUGCCGCGUGAGUGAAGAAGGCCUGGUUGUAAGCUCUUUCAGUUGUAGAAGAAAGAA